CAGUAGCCGCGGUAAUACGUAGGGUGCGAGCGUUAAUCGGAAUUACUGGGCGUAAAGCGUGCGCAGGCGGUUAUAUAAGACAGAUGUGAAAUCCCCGGGCUCAACCUGGGACCUGCAUUUGUGACUGUAUAGCUAGAGUACGGUAGAGGGGGAUGGAAUUCCGCGUGUAGCAGUGAAAUGCGUAGAGAUGUGGAGGAACACCGAUGGCGAAGGCAGCCCCCUGGGCCAAUACUGACGCUCAUGCACGAAAGCGUGGGGAGCAAACAGGAUUAGAUACCCCAGUAGUCCCUGUCUCUUAUAC
rnacentral:rRNA from 1 species